UAAGCUGAGGCCGACAGGCGUAGGCGAUGGAUAACAGGUUGAUAUUCCUGUACCACCUAUAAUCGUUUUAAUCGAUGGGGGGACGCAGUAGGAUAGGCGAAGCGUGCGAUUGGAUUGCACGUCUAAGCAGUAAGGCUGAGUAUUAGGCAAAUCCGGUACUCGUUAAGGCUGAGCUGUGAUGGGGAGAAGACAUUGUGUCUUCGAGUCGUUGAUUUCACACUGCCGAGAAAAGCCUCUAGAUAGAAAAUAGAUGCCCGUACCGCAAACCGACACAGGUAGUCAAGAUGAGAAUUCUAAGGUGAGCGAGCGAACUCUCGUUAAGGAACUCGGCAAAAUGACCCCGUAACUUCGGGAGAAGGGGUGCUCUUUAGGGUUAACGCCCAGAAGAGCCGCAGUGAAUAGGCCCAAGCGACUGUUUAUCAAAAACACAGGUCUCUGCUAAACCGUAAGGUGAUGUAUAGGGGCUGACGCCUGCCCGGUGCUGGAAGGUUAAGAGGAGUGGUUAGCUUCUGCGAAGCUACGAAUCGAAGCCCCAGUAAACGGCGGCCGUAACUAUAACGGUCCUAAGGUAGCGAAAUUCCUUGUCGGGUAAGUUCCGACCCGCACGAAAGGCGUAACGAUUUGGGCACUGUCUCAACGAGAGACUCGGUGAAAUCAUAGUACCUGUGAAGAUGCAGGUUACCCGCGACAGGACGGAAAGACCCCGUGGAGCUUUACUGUAGCCUGAUAUUGAAAUUCGGCACAGCUUGUACAGGAUAGGUAGGAGCCUUUGAAACGU
rnacentral:rRNA from 1 species